UUCAUGGGAAAUGUUUUUUUAUAAAUGAAUAUUUGAGCUGUGGAAGUCCAUAAAACGAAUGUAGGCAAACCCUCUUUUCAGAUUUAAAUUAAAACAAGAAAAACCGUUAACUUCGGCUAAUAUACCCUUCACAGGUGCAUUUCUUUUAGUAACUAUGUGUUUAAGCAAAUCUAAAGACGUAAGAAAAAGGCCUCCGACGCUUCCUUCUGUGUGUAGAGCAGGGACGGAUCUGGUUUUAUACCCGACCAAGGACAUAAGGAAUCUUAGGCAGAGAAGAAAAAUCAAUGAAGCUUAAAGAUGUCAAUAAUCUUAAAAUUGAGAUUUGGAAGUUUUUUUUGAGAGGAUGUCCAGGAGCUGAUCUACACGUUAAAGAGUAUUUUUAUAUACAGGAUGGGACGAAAGAGCGUUUGUGCUUGAAACUGGUGCAAGCUGGGAGGAAAAAGGAGUAAAGAAUAGUAUAAAAACGAAAUUUAGAAAAAUUAAAUCCCAAUUGGAAAAGUUCUAUAAGGCAUAAAUAAAUUAGAUGAAAGUAAAAAAAAAUAUUUGGCAUUAUAUUCAAGACAAAUUGCCAAUAUUUUUGAACCAGUAUUAAAAUUACAACAAAAAUCCAGAUGGAUUGUAUCAGAAAUGGAAGCUUUUCUUAAAUAACAAAACAACAACAAAUUUAAUUUGACCUUCCUAUUCUACACACGUACAAAUGUAUAUAAAUAUAUCAAUAUAAAUGAAACCACGUAGCCUAUUUUUAGGCGAUCUCUUAAAAGCCAAAUUGCUGAAUCCCCAUAUAUAGUAUAUGAAUGCAUUGUCAAUGCAGUACAACCCAGUGAACCAUCUGAAAGAUUCUAUAUGUUAAUUAUAAUAAUAUACGAGUGCGUAGCGUAUCGAACAAACAACUGGUCUAAACCAUAUAAACUGAUAUGCGCUCUUCUAUUGAAUUCAACUGGGAAAUUCUGUUCUUGUUAUAAGAAGAGUAUUUCAUGUCAAGAGAGCAGAAGAUAUAUGAGUGAAGAUAUCUGGAAUUAUUUUUGUCAUGAAGACGUUAGAAAUCUGCUAUAUUGAAGGAUUAAA